rnacentral:rRNA from 1 species
GAUGAACGCUGGCGGCGUGCCUAAUACAUGCAAGUCGAGCGAACGGACGAGAAGCUUGCUUCUCUGAUGUUAGCGGCGGACGGGUGAGUAACACGUGGAUAACCUACCUAUAAGACUGGGAUAACUUCGGGAAACCGGAGCUAAUACCGGAUAAUAUUUUGAACCGCAUGGUUCAAAAGUGAAAGACGGUCUUGCUGUCACUUAUAGAUGGAUCCGCGCUGCAUUAGCUAGUUGGUAAGGUAACGGCUUACCAAGGCAACGAGGCAUAGCCGACCGGAGAGGGUGAUCGGCGACACUGGAGCUGAGACGCGGUCCAGACUCCUGCGGGAGGCAGCAGUAGGGAAUCUUCCGCAAUGGGCGAAAGCCUGACGGAGCAGCGCCGCGUGAGUGAUGAAGGUGUUCGGAUCGUAAAACUCUGUUAUGAGGGAAGAACAUAUGUGUAAGUAACUGUGCACAUCUUGACGGUACCUAAUCAGAAAGCCACGGCUAACUACGUG